GCGCAGGAAAAGAAACCAACAGGGAUUACCUCAGUAACGGCGAGUGAAGCGGUAAUAGCUCAAAUUUGAAAUCUGGCCUCUUGGGGUCCGAGUUGUAAUUUGUAGAGGAUGUUUUGGGUACCGCCCCGGUCUAAAUUUCUUGGAACAGAAUGUCAAAGAGGGUGAGAAUCCCGUCUUGGACCGGCGGUAGGGCCUGUGUAAAACUCCUUCGACGAGUCGAGUUGUUUGGGAAUGCAGCUCAAAAUGGGUGGUAAAUUUCAUCUAAAGCUAAAUAUUGGCCAGAGACCGAUAGCGCACAAGUAGAGUGAUCGAAAGAUGAAAAGCACUUUGAAAAGAGAGUUAAACAGUAUGUGAAAUUGUUGAAAGGGAAGCGCUUGCAACCAGACUUGAGCGCGGCGGUUCCCCCGGUCUUUUGGCCGGGCUACUCCGUCGUGUCCAGGCCAACAUCGGUUCUGAGGGUCGGUCAAAGGCCUUGGGAAUGUAUCUACCCACGGGUAGACUUAUAGACCAGGGUGUCAUGCGGCCUCUCGGGACCGAGGAACGCGCUUCGGCUCGGAUGUUGGCGUAAUGGUUGUCAGCGACCCGUCUUGAAACACGGACCAAGGAGUCUAACAUCUAUGCGAGUGUUUGGGUGUCAAACCCGGAACGCGAAAUGAAAGUGAACGGAGGUAGGAAGCUUCGGCUGCACUAUCGACCGAUCCUGAAGUUUACGGAUGGAUUUGAGUAAGAGCAUAGCUGUUGGGACCCGAAAGAUGGUGAACUAUGCCUGAAUAGGGUGAAGCCAGAGGAAACUCUGGUGGAGGCUCGCAGCGGUUCUGACGUGCAAAUCGAUCGUCAAAUUUGGGUAUAGGGGCGAAAGACUAA
rnacentral:rRNA from 1 species